UGGGGAAUUUUGGACAAUGGGGGCAACCCUGAUCCAGCAAUGCCGCGUGUGUGAAGAAGGCCUUCGGGUUGUAAAGCACUUUUGUCCGGAAAGAAAACGCCGUGGUUAAUACCCGUGGCGGAUGACGGUACCGGAAGAAUAAGCACCGGCUAACUACGUGCCAGCAGCCGCGGUAAUACGUAGGGUGCAAGCGUUAAUCGGAAUUACUGGGCGUAAAGCGUGCGCAGGCGGUCCGCUAAGACAGAUGUGAAAUCCCCGGGCUUAACCUGGGAACUGCAUUUGUGACUGGCGGGCUAGAGUAUGGCAGAGGGGGGUAGAAUUCCACGUGUAGCAGUGAAAUGCGUAGAGAUGUGGAGGAAUACCGAUGGCGAAGGCAGCCCCCUGGGCCAAUACUGACGCUCAUGCACGAAAGCGUGGGGAGCAAACAGGAUUAGAUACCCUGGUAGUCCACGCCCUAAACGAUGUCAACUAGUUGUCGGGUCUUCAUUGACUUGGUAACGUAGCUAACGCGUGAAGUUGACCGCCUGGGGAGUACGGUCGCAAGAUUAAAAA
rnacentral:rRNA from 1 species